CACCCACUUAGGACAAUUUUGGGGGGUUUUUUGUUGCCUGGAGCCUGUGGGGCUGGAGCAGGACUGGCGAGCUCCUUGCCCCCCCCAGGCUCGUCCAGCAGCAGAGGGUGCUCAUGCACUGCUGUGCAAAUCAUCCCUCUCCCUCAGCCAUCUUAGGGAAAUGUUUCCCUUCCCUGCAGUCUCCAUUUUAUGUUCCUGACGCAGAAAAUAAAAAGUGCUGGCGGGUGAGCAGGCACUUCCCAAUCCGGGAUAUGAAACAAUCCAGGGAUCCAAACUGCUCCAGCUUCACUGAUCCAACCAGCCAAGGAUGCUCAGAGAUGGACUCAGGUGUCUGUGGUCCCCUCCUGGUCCCUGCCUCUCUGUGCCCUGGGAUGAGCACAGCACAUCUCUCCCUUCCGUGAGGGGUCUGUGAACUUCCAAAGGCUUCCUGGGGUUGUCUGUGUGUGUUUUCCAGGCUAAGGAGUGCAGGUUUGGGGUUUGGGGAGGGGUUUUUUGGUGGCAUCUCAUAGCUGAGAACCGAAGUGCUGGGCCCUCACCGUUGCAGGGAUGUGCACAGAGAUAAUCGGUGGUGUCAGUGCAUCCAACAAACUUCCAACCAGCUGGAGCUGCCAGCUCCAAAACCUGCCCGAGGUGUGGGUUAAAUACUUCCAAACUGGGGCCAAGUCCGUCAGCAAAUUUGAACCAAAAGUCCCUGGGAGAGCUGGUUUUCUCCGGUCUGUGCCGCUCAUCCAUCAGAGCCAGGGAGGGGGGAGAUCCCUGUGGGACCCUUCCCACUAAUCUGUUCCUUCCACAGAGCGAGUCCUGGUCGCCCUUGUGCCCAUCCUACAUCCAGUUUUAUUCCCAAACUCUUUUAUUCCAUUCUUAAAACCCCGAUUUUGCAGCUCAGUGCAGCUUUUUGGUCAGUUUUCACCCAGCCGCUCCAUCCCCU
rnacentral:lncRNA from 13 species